rnacentral:rRNA from 1 species
UACGUAGGGGCCUAGCGUUGUCCGGAAUUAUUGGGCGUAAAGAGCUCGUAGGCGGUUCGGCAAGUCGGAUGUGAAAUCUCCACGCUUAACGUGGAGGGGCCAUUCGAAACUGCUGUGACUCGAGUCCGGUAGGGGAGUGUGGAAUUCCCGGUGUAGCGGUGAAAUGCGCAGAUAUCAGGAAGAAUAUCCGUGGCGAAGGCGGCUCUCGUGGUACGGCACUGACGCUGAGACGC